UCACACUAUCAAGCGUGGCUUGUUGUUGGGCCCUUUGUCACCAGGUGACAGGUCUGAAAGACAAUGGCCGGUGUCAUACCGACUCUAUAUGCAACGAGCUUAUCACAGCACGCAUCUGGCAGUCGUAUGGCCCGGUCUGUACCCUUUUCUUUCUCAA
rnacentral:misc_RNA from 1 species